rnacentral:rRNA from 1 species
GACGAACGCUGGCGGCGUGCUUAACACAUGCAAGUCGAACGGUGAAGCGCCUUCCUUUUUGGUGGGUGUGGAUGAGUGGCGAACGGGUGAGUAACACGUGAGUAACCUGCCCCCUUCUUCUGGAUAACCGCAUGAAAGUGUGGCUAAUACGGGAUAUUCUGGGUCUGUCGCAUGAUGGGUCUGGGAAAGAUAUUGUUUCGGUGGGGGAUGGGCUCGCGGCCUAUCAGCUUGUUGGUGGGGUGAUGGCCUACCAAGGCGGUGACGGGUAGCCGGCCUGAGAGGGUGGACGGUCACACUGGGACUGAGACACGGCCCAGCCUCCUACGGGAGGCAGCAGUGGGGAAUAGUGCACAAUGGGCGCAAGCCUGAUGCAGCGACGCCGCGUGAGGGAUGGAGGCCUCCGGGUUGUGAACCUCUUUCGCCAGUGAAGCAGGCCUGCCUCGUUUGUGGGUGGGUUGACGGUAGCUGGAUAAGAAGCGCCGGCUAACUACGUG